AUUGAACGCUGGCGGAAUGCUUUACACAUGCAAGUCGAACGGCAGCAUAGGUGCUUGCACCUGAUGGCGAGUGGCGAACGGGUGAGUAAUACAUCGGAACGUGCCCAGUCGUGGGGGAUAACGUAGCGAAAGUUACGCUAAUACCGCAUACGAUCUGCGGAUGAAAGCGGGGGACCGUAAGGCCUCGCGCGAUUGGAGCGGCCGAUGUUAGAUUAGGUAGUUGGUGGGGUAAAGGCUCACCAAGCCGACGAUCUAUAGCUGGUCUGAGAGGAUGAUCAGCCACACUGGGACUGAGACACGGCCCAGACUCCUACGGGAGGCAGCAGUGGGGAAUUUUGGACAAUGGGGGCAACCCUGAUCCAGCCAUGCCGCGUGAGUGAAGAAGGCCUUCGGGUUGUAAAGCUCUUUCGGCCGGGAAGAAAUCGCACAGGCUAAUAUCCUGUGUGGAUGACGGUACCGGCAUAAGAAGCACCGGCUAACUACGUG
rnacentral:rRNA from 1 species